UGGCGGCACGCCUAACACAUGCAAGUCGAACGAAGUAGCAAUACUUAGUGGCAGACGGGUGAGUAACAUGUAGGUAUCUGCCCUUUGGCCUGGAAUAACACGAGGAAACUUGUGCUAAUACCGGAUAAGUCUUUACAGAGAAAGCUUUAUGCACCAUUGGAUGAGCCUGCACUUGAUUAGUUUGUUGGUGGGGUAAUGGCCUACCAAGACUUUGAUCAAUAGCUGAUUUGAGAGGAUGAUCAGCCACAUUGGGACUGAGACACGGCCCAAACUCCUACGGGAGGCAGCAGUGGGGAAUCUUGCACAAUGGAGGAAACUCUGAUGCAGCGAUGCCGCGUGAGUGAAGAAGGCCUUUGGGUUGUAAAGCUCUUUCGUCGGGGAAGAAAAUGACUGUACCCGAAUAAGAAGGUCCGGCUAACUUCGUGCCAGCAGCCGCGGUAAUACGAAGGGACCUAGCGUAGUUCGGAAUUACUGGGCUUAAAGAGUUCGUAGGUGGUUGAAAAAGUUGGUGGUGAAAUCCCAGAGCUUAACUCUGGAACUGCCAUCAAAACUUUUCAGCUAGAGUUUGAUAGAGGAAAGCAGAAUUUCUAGUGUAGAGGUGAAAUUCGUAGAUAUUAGAAAGAAUACCAAUUGCGAAGGCAGCUUUCUGGAUCAUUACUGACACUGAGGAACGAAAGCAUGGGUAGCGAAGAGGAUUAGAUACCCUCGUAGUCCAUGCCGUAAACGAUGUGUGUUAGACGUUGGAAAUUUAUUUUCAGUGUCGCAGCGAAAGCGAUAAACACACCGCCUGGGGAGUACGACCGC
rnacentral:rRNA from 1 species